CCUGAAUGCUGGUAGGCGGAGCCCGGAGAACCACAAACACCGAAGACAACGAAUGAGCCCGAGGACGCGUGCGGCCAUCAUCAGCUCCUCCUUUGAGCACGGGAAGGGAGGAAGGACAGAAUAGCAGCUGGCAAAUCCUCCUGAAACUCAUUUCCAGCCAACUGAGAAUUCCCAGCUGCCACGGAGCAAGGAUCUUACUAUGUAGACCAGGCUUGCCUGAACUCAGG